ACAGGGAUUGCCCCAGUAACGGCGAGUGAAGCGGCAACAGCUCAAAUUUGAAAUCUGGCCCCCCGGCCCGAGUUGUAAUUUGCAGAGGAUGCUUUUGGUGAGGCACCUACCGAGUCCCCUGGAAUGGGGCGCCAUAGAGGGUGAGAGCCCCGUAUGGUAGGACGCCGAACCUCUGUAAAGCUCCUUCGACGAGUCGAGUAGUUUGGGAAUGCUGCUCUAAAUGGGAGGUAAAUUUCUUCUAAAGCUAAAUACCGGCCAGAGACCGAUAGCGCACAAGUAGAGUGAUCGAAAGAUGAAAAGCACUUUGAAAAGAGGGUUAAAAAGUACGUGAAAUUGUUGAAAGGGAAGCGCUUGUGACCAGACUUGCGCCGGGCGGAUCAUCCAGCGUUCUCGCUGGUGCACUCCGCCCGGUUCAGGCCAGCAUCGGUUUUCGCCGGGGGACAAAGGCUUCGGGAACGUGGCUCCUUUCGGGGAGUGUUAUAGCCCGUUGCGUAAUACCCCGGCGGGGACCGACGACCGCGCUUCGGCAAGGAUGCUGGCGUAAUGGUCAUCAGCGACCCGUCUUGAAACACGGACCGAGGAGUCAAGCAUUAGUGCGAGUGUUUGGGUGUAAAACCCGCACGCGUAAUGAAAGUGAACGUAGGUGAGAGCUUCGGCGCAUCAUCGACCGAUCCUGAUGUUUUCGGAAGGAUUUGAGUAGGAGCAUUAACGCUUGGACCCGAAAGAUGGUGAACUAUACUUGAAUAGGGUGAAGCCAGAGGAAACUCUGGUGGAGGCUCGCAGCGGUUCUGACGUGCAAAUCGAUCGUCAAAUUUGAGUAUAGGGGCGAAAGACUAAUCGAACCAUCUAGUAGCUGGUUUCAGC
rnacentral:rRNA from 1 species